AAUUGGAGGGCAAGUCUGGUACCAGCAGCCGCGGUAAUUCCAGCUCCAAUAGCGUAUAUUAAAGUUGUUGCAGUUAAAAAGCUCGUAGUUGAAUUUCGGGAUUGACACAUCGGUCGUGCCUUAAGGGGUAUGAACUGGUGUAGUCAAUUUCUCACCUUCUGGAGAACCGCGAUGCCCUUAAUUGGGUGUCACGGGGAACCAGGACCUUUACUUUGAAAAAAUUAGAGUGUUUAAAGCAGGCAUUUUGCUUGAAUACAUUAGCAUGGAAUAAUAAAAUAGGACGGCAUGAUUCUAUUUUGUUGGUUUCUAGGAUCACCGUAAUGAUUAAUAGGGAUAGUUGGGGGCAUUAGUAUUCAAUUGUCAGAGGUGAAAUUCUUGGAUUUAUUGAAGACUAACUACUGCGAAAGCAUUUGCCAAGGAUGUUUUCAUUAAUCAAGAACGAAAGUUAGGGGAUCGAAGACGAUCAGAUACCGUCGUAGUCUUAACCAUAAACUAUGCCGACUAGGAAUCAGACGAUGUUAAUUUUUUAAUGACUCGUUUGGCACCUUACGGGAAACCAAAGUGU
rnacentral:rRNA from 1 species